UCUAGGGGGCCCGCAAGGGUCACCGGCGAACGGGUGCGUAACACGUGAGCGACCUACCUUGAGAUGGGGGAUAGCCGGCCCAACGGCCGGGUAAUACCGCAUACGCUCAUCGGGCUUCCUGGCCUGGUGAGGAAAGCUUUCGCGUCUCUAGAGGGGCUCGCGGCCUAUCAGCUAGUUGGCGGGGUAAUGGCCCACCAAGGCGAUGACGGGUAGCUGGUCUGAGAGGAUGGCCAGCCACAUUGGGACUGAGAAACGGCCCAGACUCCUACGGGAGGCAGCAGUGGGGAAUAUUGCGCAAUGGUCGAAAGACUGACGCAGCGACGCCGCGUGGAGGAUGACGCCCUUCGGGGUGUAAACUCCUGUUGCUCGGGACGAAACCUCCUUUCGAGGAGACUGACGGUACCGAGUGAGGAAGCACCGGCUAACUCUGUGCCAGCAGCCGCGGUAAUACAGAGGGUGCGAGCGUUGUCCGGAAUCACUGGGCGUAAAGGGCGCGUAGGCGGCUUGGUAAGCGUGCGGUGAAAGCUCGGGGCUCAACCCCGAGUCUGCCGUGCGAACUGCCGAGCUGGAGCACGGUAGAGGCACAUGGAAUUCCGGGUGUAGCGGUGGAAUGCGUAGAGAUCCGGAAGAACACCGGUGGCGAAGGCGGUGUGCUGGGCCGUAGCUGACGCUGAGGCGCGACAGCGUGGGGAGCAAACAGGAUUAGAUACCCUGGUAGUCCACGCCGUAAACGAUGGGCACUAGGUCCUUGGGGGAGCGACCCCUUGAGGGCCGUCGCAAACGCAUUAAGUGCCCCGCCUGGGGAGUACGGCCGCAAGGCUGAAACUCAAAGGAAUUGACGGGGGCCCGCACAAGC
rnacentral:rRNA from 1 species